rnacentral:lncRNA from 1 species
CAAGGAGCUCCUUUCCCAAAACACAGUAUUGUUUCAACAUCUAUUUAUCUUGCCUUCUGCAUGGCACACAGUUAAGGAUUCCAGUCUAUAUUCCUGAGUCAGAAACUUAAAGAAGAACAAGAAGAAAGAUGAAUGCUUCUCUGCCUGUAGAGCUCAGAAGAGAUCAUUGGAUUUCAAAAAUUGGGAUGAAAAAUCUGUUGUGAAGUUUCAGGCAGGUGCUGGGAAACAACUUUGGAUUAUAGAAUCUAAACUGCAGACAAAUUUUCAAAUAGUGUUACGAUGGCAAGUCCUUCAUCUGCUGAUAAAGUCUUAGAAAACAUCAGAAAAUUCAUGAAGAGGAGAGACCUUAUAAAUGGUCUGUUAACAUUCAAGGAUGUGGCUGUGGACUUCUCAGAGGAGGAAUGGGAAUGUCUUGACCAUGCUCAGAGGAGAUUGUACUUG